GACGAACGCUGGCGGCGUGCUUAACACAUGCAAGUCGAACGGAAAGGCCCUGCUGUUGUGGGGUGCUCGAGUGGCGAACGGGUGAGUAACACGUGAGUAACCUGCCCGUGACUUUGGGAUAACUUAAGGAAACUGGGGCUAAUACCGGAUAGGAGCUCCUGCUGCAUGGUGGGGGGUGGAAAGUUUCGGCGGUUGGGGAGGGACUGGCGGCUUAUCAGCUUGUUGGUGGGGUAGUGGCUUACCAAGGCUUUGACGGGUAGCCGGCCUGAGAGGGUGACCGGCCACAUUGGGACUGGGAUACGGCCCAGACUCCUACGGGAGGCAGCAGUGGGGAAUAUUGCACAAUGGGCGGAAGCCUGAUGCAGCAACGCCGCGUGCGGGAUGACGGCCUUCGGGUUGUAAACCGCUUUCGCCUGUGACGAAGCGUGAGUGACGGUAAUGGGUAAAGAAGCACCGGCUAACUACGUG
rnacentral:rRNA from 1 species